AGUCUGCGUGCGACUGCCGUGGAGAGCUGCGGGAACGCUACAGCCUCUCCGGUUACCAGGUUGUGUGAUUGGCGCAGCGUACCGUACGCAGCAGAAUAGUCCCGUAUUCACGUCGACAAUAUGCCGAUAUGGUGUUUACGUGCGACUAAACAAAUGGAUACGGUCGAGAGGCAGCACGGCUACCAACGUUUCAAGCCCUUUUUGGGCGUUUGUGUCUGAUCAUGGGUCCUUUCGGAAAGGCGAACGUGCAGGGAGGCGCGGGACCGUGUGUACACCGGAUUUGGAGGACUAGAUUCUACAGGAUAUUCAGACGAAAUCUAGAAGCAGCUCCAGGUCCCUGAGGCGUCACUUCUGGAAACAAUUCCAUAGAGUUCUGCAGAAGUGAACCGUCGUAUGGUGCAUCCAAACUAGAUAGUUCCUCAGCAAUGCCUAUUCAUCAGGAAAUUAUCUAUGAGGACGCAGCCGCUGCAGCAGGCCCUACAACGAGCACUCGCAACGACAAGGUGCUGUGGACUAUGAGAAGGAGAGCCUCAAAGAAGAAUUGCUACACCUAAAAAUACUGUUCUGGAGGAGUGGUUAUCAGAUCAACAUACUGAGAGGGCACUGCAAUGUCUGAGGAAGAGGCUGAGACAGAGAGAGAAAAAGAAAAGACUACUCAUCUGCCUUAUGCUGGUUCCGUGUUCAGAAUGAUCACUAGACCACCACAGAAAUACAGCAUGCAGUGCAUUUUGCUCCCGUCAAUAUAAAAAGCUCUAUUUGUCAUUUUGUAGACAAUCUAGAUCUCUCAAAACUAGGCAACCAGUGUGAAUGUGGUAGGUCUUCCGUUGGGCAGACUAUUGCAACAGGGGAAGGAAGGAAAAAAAGAUUAGGAUUUAAUAUCACACCAACAAUUAUGGAUCAGAUACAGAGCACAAGAUUUAAUCAUUUUAAGAUGGAGAAGGAAAUCGGCCAUGCCCUUUCAAAGGAAUCAUUCUGGCAUCUGAUUGGAGUGAUUUGGGGAAAUCAUUUUCAACCAAAAUCUGGAUUGUCAUGUUGAAUAGUCAUCCUCCUGAAUUCAAAUUCAGUGUGCUAACCACUGCAUCACCUCAACUGGUACGGAACAGUCACUGAGGAGUGCAAUGAACAUCAGUAAUACACCUGACUAAAAGAACCAUGCAAAUUAGCUGUUGAUGGGCAAUGCUUCAAAAAUAAUCAUGAAAUGAAAUACAAUGAGCCCAGUAUUGUACAACAGCACAAUUAAGGAGCAUAUCAAAAUUACAAUGUCAGGAAACAUGACAAACUGAGACAGUAGUGGCAAAUUAAACAAUCAAAUUUUUACAAUCUAGCCAGCCAUCUCAUCCAUCAGAACAGAAAAAAAAAAAAAACUGAGAGACUGUGCAUUUCACAGGAUAACAAAUGAGCAACAAAGGGCAUAGAAGGUGGAAGAUGUUGAGCCCUGCCAGUGGUGUACACACACUGUGGUUGGAGUCCAGGCAGUGAGUGUACAUAAAAACACAGCUCACAGCAUCUGAAGAUGAUGACUGUGCAAAGUCACUGAAAUAUUGUGCACAAAAGUGGAAACAAGUACUUGGCUAAAUAUCGAAACAUACACCAUUAACACAAUUCUCUGAAGAUUAAACAAGGAAUUAAGAUGCAAAUGUGAGCCAAACAAUAGUGCCUCAGUGGUAUGUUGCCCUUUGGUGUUUCGGAGUUAAUUUUGAUACUAGGGUUAAUGUUUUACCAUAUGAAUCUUACUGCAAGUUUUGAGGAGAUAACUCAUCACGCAUCUAAAAAGGAUGAAUGGUUAAGAGUUCAACAUCUCACUGGUACUAACAAAGAUGCAGCAGUUCCUUGGCUGUAGAAGUACUGGAGAAAUAAAGCAGGCAUUACUCAUUUUAACAGUCAUUGCUUGGGUGAACGCAAGCAAAACCUAAACCAGGAUGGUAAUUUAGAUGCACCUGCACGAAACUUCAGUAUGCCUUGCAUGGUACAAGAAAACACGGAGAAUAGUAACCACAUGAGAAGACAUGUUGCUUUAUGUACACCUGAGUUCAAGAUUUCUAACAUCACUGGAAAAAUUUAUGAAACACGUUGAUCAAGAACAAAGCUGCAAAGAACUAGGGCAAGGCUCAUAAGCUAUUAAACUUCAAAACAGUGACUUCAUUCUUCAUCAAGGUGUGCUUUUUAUCAUGUUAUACAAUACAUAAACAUAAACUACUGAAGAAACAUUUAGAAUCUUCUGAAAAAAUGGCCACACACAUCAACAGAUUGUAGUGCCUCAAGAAUUUUGGUGUAAUUUCUGGAAACACUCAGCCUUCCACCGUAUCAAACACCUGAUAUUUUAGGUAUGAGUGCGGGAGAAUGAGAAUGUUUCUACUGAUCCACCUGUUUCUAUGUGCAGGCCAGAAGUUUGUUAUUAGAAGACUGUAAGAGGGGCAAGUCACAGACGACAAGUGUUUGCCGCCAGUGCCACAGAGGACUUGAUGACAACUCAAGGAAUAAUUAUGGAAUAUUCUUUGAUGUGUUAGUGAAAGCGAUUAUUGUAGAAAAAGAAAGAAAACAACUGACUAUAUACUUUUAACUUACUUUAUGUCUUAGCUAUGCAUGAGGCAGGACACAUGUGAUGUCUAUAAAUUAUUGGAUUGUUACAAUCUAUGAUAUUGUACUUGUAUUUUAUCGAGUAUGACAUUUGAAGACAACAGUUGGCUUGCCAGAGCUUACAUACUUACGUGAAAAAGAGUAAAUGUUGCUUUGUGUUGAGAGUUGGAAAUAUACCAUGAAUGAAUUUAAAGUGUUCCACGAGUACACAAAUUAUUUCAAGAAUAGAGAAGUAGCUUAAUAAAUUCCUGUAACUCGCUAUAGUCUUCGGAGAAGAAGCUUUUAGAGAUCGAUGUAACUGAUUACCCAGAGAAGAGGAUCGGCUGCACACAAUACAUAAGUCAACUGCGAGAGACAUGUUUGUCUUCCACCCCAGUACCACACCGUCUCAUGUCGUCCGAAAAAUGUUAGAAGAUCUGAAUGUACUGUCUCUUGUAUUGAAAACAUUAAUUUUUUCAAUGUUUGUGUGGAAUUGUUUUCCAAAUAGUGGUAGAAGAGGAGCAAUCUUUUCAGGUAUUUGGAAAACAUUUAUCAUUUCGAUACAAUCCUCAAGAAGCUCUCUCAGUGUCUAAUGCUCGAGAUAACAACCAAAUGCAUUUCUUAGCAACAAUUACAUGUGAGCUGACACAACAUCAUCUUCUCUGUCUAGUUUUUAUGACUAUUACACAGUAGCAUUUCUGUCGGAAGAAAAAGAAAUGCAGAUAACAUGUAUAAAGGUAAGACACAUAAGCGUUGUCUGAAAGUGUAGCUGUCAAUGGUCAUAUUAACAAAAUGGACUGUUGCCAACUUUUGGGUCUUAAAUAAUUUAUGUCCCACCAAGGGAUUUUCCAUCAACAUUUCUCAAUACAAAUGUUUAUGGAGAAGGCAGUGUUCUGAGGCAUAAUCAAAUCAAAAGGAAGAAUGGAGGAUUAAGGAAGUAACUUUCAACGAUGGUGCCAUUGAGGUCAGGGCACAAAGCAUAGGUGGCUUCAUGAAGCAAGUAGCAAAUCAACUGUAUCAUUUUCAAUGGAAGCAAUUUGGUAUUUGCUUACAAAAAGUUGGAGAAACCACAAAAAGCACGAAUUUCAAUGGGAAUUUGAUUCUGCUCCUCCAGAACGUGAGCCCAAUGUCAUAAUAAUGGCUACCACCUCAUUUGACUACAUUAAAAGAACCAUUAAAACUAGUAUUGAAAGUAACAUAUUUCAUAUUAUAAUAUUUUGAUUUUUCUAGCAGUAGGUGAAACUGAUUAUGGUACAAUUAUUUAGUGCAAAUUAUUACUGUAUAUUUUCUUAUGCUGCUGCCCCAGAGGCCACUUUUCUUCUAUUCUUAAGAAAAUGGAUGUAUACUUAUUAUUAGAUACCACCUCUAUUAUUAAGAGCAGAAUAAGAUUCAGUGAAAGCCCCAUAGAUGAAAUGGCACAAAUACUCAACAGAAAAUAGCAGUCUUAAUGAAGAUGGUUGGCUGUAGCCAAAUAAAGAGUUGAGACCAGCCAUCAUGUGACUGAAGCAACCACAACACGCAUGGAAUGAAAAUAAAGCCUUAUAUCACACUGAACGAAGCAUCAGUGCUAUUAGAAUUAAUAUGACGACUCUUGUCGAAACACUGCUGUCAUCCACUCUGCACUGAAUAGUUGUUACAUAAUGACAACAACAAGGAUGGAUUCGUAGAAAGGUUAUUGAGCCUGAACUAUUUUAUGUGGCUGGAAGCACAAAUGGAUUUUUUUAAAAUGCAGAUGAACUUGUCUUCCUGAAGUGCACUUUGUGACAAAGAAAUUGAUUCUACUUUGUAGAUAACUACAUCAUCUGUGAAAUGUCUGAUGUUAAUAUUAUAUCUGAAAAGAGACAGACUAUAGUUCGUUACUUAUUCUCGUAUAUUUAACAAACUGGUACAUGAGUAUUCAAUUCAUUUCUCAUACAAAUAAACAGCUUCUACAUUAGUUGCCUUGCUAUCUGAAACAAAUGCUGUAAGAAGAGGAGAAUGAAGAGGCAAUGAGAGUAAAGAAAACAGGCCUAUAGCAGUUUUUUAUUGGUUGCAAUGACACUUAGACUGUCCAAAUUCAGCAUUCCACAAUUUGCCAUUGUAAAUGUUUCAUAAAUGAGUAUUUCCUUAUAUCCUGGAAAAUGCACCUGACAGAACAGUUUCUUAACAACUAUUGAUAUUCUUGCAAACAAAGAUGACUGGUGUAGAAACUGGUGACUGUUUGAACCACCCCAGUUCAUACGUCAUCUUAGUGAGCAAGUGUGUCCACAUCAAUUUGCCCCUUUGGCAAUGAUAACUUGUAAACAUAACACUUCAGGCACCAAGCAGUACAGUCUUGGCUCAAUUCACUUGUUCCUCACUUCCCUUUCCACACUAUUCGCUGAUUACUCUGAGUUCAUCGUUGAUUGCCCUGUCACUGUGGUGUCAACAUGAGUCAGCUUGUAUAAGGAGAUCCCUGAAUGGACUAAUUUAAGCAACAAAAUUAUGAGAAAGUAAAUGGAGAUGGGUGAGGGGCAGAUAUGUUACAAUUUGCGAUAGAUUUAUGUGU